rfam:Microdochium bolleyi strain J235TASD1 unplaced genomic scaffold Micbo1qcscaffold_9, whole genome shotgun sequence.
GCCCGCUUGGCUCAUCGGUAGAGCGCCUCACUAGUAAUGAGGAGGUAAUUGGUUCGACUCCAGUAGUGGGCA